rnacentral:rRNA from 1 species
UACCUAGCGGCAGACGGGUGCGUAACAUGUGGGAAUCUGCCUUUUGGUUCGGAAUAACACGGGGAAACCUGUGCUAAUACCGGAUACUCCAUCUUGGCGGCAUCGCCGAGCUGGGAAAAAAUUUUGAUGAAAGAUGGUCUCGCGGCCUAUCAGCUAGUUGGUGAGGUAAAGGCUCACCAAGGCGACGACGGGUAGCCGGCCUGAGAGGGCGACCGGCCACACUGGGACUGAGACACGGCCCAGACUCC